CCUCAAUGGCAGCCAAGUCCUUACUCGCCGCUGCUCCGUGACACAUUGCGGAUUUUGGCGCCUCGUCCAGGUGAGCCUGGGUCAGAAGGCAAUCCCGGAACUAUCGAGCCUGGUCCA